GCUACGGCGGCGCGUCGGGGACAAACUGCGCCGGCGCCGCGCCGAGGUUACUUGGAUGACCGAGUGACCGUAGUGAACUUCCCGCUGCGGGAGGAAGCAGGGCGAGCAGCGGACAGUGUGGAGUUUGGAAUCCGCCCACGGAGGAGACUAUCCCAGUUGGAAUUGUGGCGAUAACGACGACAAACUAUAAUAGGAAGAACCGCUUUGCCCCGCGUGCAGCAGAGCACUGAUUAAGACACAAGGUUUCACUGUGGCCCUGUCUGGUCUUGAACUCACAGAGAUCCAUCAACCUCUGCCUCCUGAGUGCUGGGAUUCAAGGAACCACCUCACUGUCCCUUAGAAUGUUCAUCACCCCCGAGAUAAUACAGUCCAAGAAUGGUGAUCCCCACCCACAUCCACUCAUGAAGGUUGCGCUAUCCGGAUGAAGAUACAGAAACACACCAUUUACGUGGAAACCGAGUCUUUGUAGUGAUGUCCUUGCUGUCUGAGCUAGGUCCUGCUCCCUCAUCUUCCGCUCAGAAACAGGACCCGGAGCACCUAGAUUUGUGGUUGGAGUUCUUUAGCGUCGCCCUCCAGCCUCCACUUCUCAACCUCCCCCACCCCGUCUCAAAAAAAAAAAAAAAAGAAAAAAAAGAUUUCCACCCUUUUUCUUCCCUCUCUCUGAGCGCAGAGCCUGUCUCUUCCAAAAAUGACCGGUAGAGGGCAGCUCGGAGCCGUUCUGCAACAGUGAUUUUUCUCCGGAAAUGUGUAUCAAAUUAUGACUGAGGAUCGUGACAAAGCUGCUUGACUAGCAGAUAUGAAGACCUAGAGCCAAUCCCAGAACAGUAAACAAAAAUAAAAACCCCAAACCUACCACCACCACCAACAACAACAAAAGACUGAAAAAAAAGCUGGAAGUAGAGACGGGAUUUUAAAAAACAUUGUUAUAAAUCGUGGGAUUUAAAAAAUGAUGUGUCUGAGUCGGGCAUGGUGGCGCACACCUAUAAUCCCAGCAUUCUGGGAGGCAGUGGAAGGCGGAUCUCUGUGAGUUCAAGGCCGGCCUGGUUUACAGAGUGAGUCAAGGAUAGCCAAAAAUACACAGAGAA